CCUACACGAAGCUGGAAUCGCUAGUAAUCGCGGAUCAGCACGCCGCGGUGAAUACGUUCCCGGGCCUUGUACACACCGCCCGUCACACCAUGAGAGUCUGUAACACCCAAAGCCGGUGGGACAACCUUUAUAGGAGUCAGCCGUCUAAGGUAGGACAGAUGAUUAGGGUGAAGUCGUAACAAGGUAUC
rnacentral:rRNA from 1 species